rnacentral:rRNA from 1 species
UACGGGAGGCAGCAGUGACGAAUAUCGGACAAUGGAUGGAAAUCUCAUCCAGCCAAGCCGCGUGCAGGAAGACGGCCCUGUAGGAAGUAAACUGCUUGGGUAUGAGAGCAAUAAGGUCAGCGCGUAGAACGAUGAGAGUACCAACGACGAA